rnacentral:lncRNA from 1 species
GGGCCAAGACGUCUGUUGUUGCUUUACCGGGUAAUCCUUGUUCUCGCACCCUUUGCCUUAAGGCAAAGUGUGUGAGUGGGAGGGAAGACCCGAUAUCUUUUUAUGUUUUUAAAGUUUUGGUGUCAAGCAUGCUAUACAAUCAAGGUUACUCAGUUGUGAUGAUUUGAAAGUGCAAUUUUGUGAGUGAGAUUAUGCAAACCUUGUGCCGUAUGUAGUUGAGGACGAUGGAUAGGGAAUUGGGCAUACCUUGUGAGGAUUUGAGCUUUUAAAAUUGUUACUUUAUGCCCAAAACAAUUCUUUCUUUCAUUGUGUGAAUUUUGACAUCUUGAUUAAGGGUGAUGCUAGAACUUGCCUUAAUUCUUGGUCGAACCCUGUGUACAUAGUCUAGGUGUGUUGAAUGAUUUAGGCAAAUUCUUUCUUUAGCCCACUGAGCCAAACUGACCAACCCUACAUCUAUCACUUGCAACCCCUUUUGAGCUUAAUAAUUCUUUUGAAUUCACUUAUAAAUUUGCCUAGAUUUGAGCCGUCCCGGUCAAAACAAAAACUGAACUUAAGGGCAAAAGAAAGGGAGAUAGUGUAGUGGAUCCGAUGGGCAGGACUAUUGCAAAGAAAUUGCAAAAUGGGACAUCUAAAUCCCAAAACAGAAAAAGUCCAGAAAAAGAAAAAGAAAUAAUAAAAAAGGGGAAGGAGAAAAAGAAAAAAAAAAGAAAGGAAGAAUAAAAGGAAAAAUGUGCUUAAGCCCGCAAGAAUAAGCAAGGAUCAAAAGAAUCUGGGAAAUCUAUUGCUCAGAAUGAAGUUCAGUAUGACCUUAGCCUCGUACCAAAAAAUUCUCACCUUAUGCCUUGAGCCACAUUACAACCCAUGAAAGACCUAAUGAGAUGCACCUAGGACUUUGACUAAAGGGGAAGACAUUAGAAGAUAGGCAAGCUUAUGGUCAGAACCCAAUCAAGAUGUCCG